rnacentral:rRNA from 1 species
UACGAAGGGGGCUAGCGUUGUUCGGAAUUACUGGGCGUAAAGCGCACGUAGGCGGCUUCUUAAGUCGGUGGUGAAAUCCUGGAGCUCAACUCCAGAACUGCCUUCGAUACUGGGAGCUCGAGUCCGGGAGAGGUGAGUGGAACUGCGAGUGUAGAGGUGAAAUUCGUAGAUAUUCGCAAGAACACCAGUGGCGAAGGCGGCUCACUGGCCCGGUACUGACGCUGAGGUGCGAAAGCGUGGGGAGCAAACAGG